CCGAGUUAGGGUCUCGUCCAACGAGCCCGACCUCCCAACCCUUUGUCUACCAUACCUUGUCGUUGCUUCGGCGGACCGGUCCCGACCCCCCGUGGGUCGCGACCGCCGGGGACUCGUCCCUGGAGAGCGUCCGCCGAUGGCCCAACCACAAAACUCUUGUACCAAACCAUGUCGUCUGAAUUACUUGAUUAAAAUCAAAAAACA
rnacentral:misc_RNA from 1 species